UUUAUGGAGAGUUUGAUCCUGGCUCAGGAUGAACGCUGGCGGCGUGCCUAAUACAUGCAAGUCGAGCGAACGGACGAGAAGCUUGCUUCUCUGAUGUUAGCGGCGGACGGGUGAGUAACACGUGGAUAACCUACCUAUAAGACUGGGAUAACUUCGGGAAACCGGAGCUAAUACCGGAUAAUAUUUUGAACCGCAUGGUUCAAAAGUGAAAGACGGUCUUGCUGUCACUUAUAGAUGGAUCCGCGCUGCAUUAGCUAGUUGGUAAGGUAACGGCUUACCAAGGCAACGAUGCAUAGCCGACCUGAGAGGGUGAUCGGCCACACUGGAACUGAGACACGGUCCAGACUCCUACGGGAGGCAGCAGUAGGGAAUCUUCCGCAAUGGGCGAAAGCCUGACGGAGCAACGCCGCGUGAGUGAUGAAGGUCUUCGGAUCGUAAAACUCUGUUAUUAGGGAAGAACAUAUGUGUAAGUAACUGUGCACAUCUUGACGGUACCUAAUCAGAAAGCCACGGCUAACUACGUGCCAGCAGCCGCGGUAAUACGUAGGUGGCAAGCGUUAUCCGGAAUUAUUGGGCGUAAAGCGCGCGUAGGCGGUUUUUUAAGUCUGAUGUGAAAGCCCACGGCUCAACCGUGGAGGGUCAUUGGAAACUGGAAAACUUGAGUGCAGAAGAGGAAAGUGGAAUUCCAUGUGUAGCGGUGAAAUGCGCAGAGAUAUGGAGGAACACCAGUGGCGAAGGCGACUUUCUGGUCUGUAACUGACGCUGAUGUGCGAAAGCGUGGGGAUCAAACAGGAUUAGAUACCCUGGUAGUCCACGCCGUAAACGAUGAGUGCUAAGUGUUAGGGGGUUUCCGCCCCUUAGUGCUGCAGCUAACGCAUUAAGCACUCCGCCUGGGGAGUACGACCGCAAGGUUGAAACUCAAAGGAAUUGACGGGGACCCGCACAAGCGGUGGAGCAUGUGGUUUAAUUCGAAGCAACGCGAAGAACCUUACCAAAUCUUGACAUCCUUUGACAACUCUAGAGAUAGAGCCUUCCCCUUCGGGGGACAAAGUGACAGGUGGUGCAUGGUUGUCGUCAGCUCGUGUCGUGAGAUGUUGGGUUAAGUCCCGCAACGAGCGCAACCCUUAAGCUUAGUUGCCAUCAUUAAGUUGGGCACUCUAAGUUGACUGCCGGUGACAAACCGGAGGAAGGUGGGGAUGACGUCAAAUCAUCAUGCCCCUUAUGAUUUGGGCUACACACGUGCUACAAUGGACAAUACAAAGGGCAGCGAAACCGCGAGGUCAAGCAAAUCCCAUAAAGUUGUUCUCAGUUCAGAUUGUAGUCUGCAACUCGACUACAUGAAGCUGGAAUCGCUAGUAAUCGUAGAUCAGCAUGCUACGGUGAAUACGUUCCCGGGUCUUGUACACACCGCCCGUCACACCACGAGAGUUUGUAACACCCGAAGCCGGUGGAGUAACCUUUUAGGAGCUAGCCGUCGAAGGUGGGACAAAUGAUUGGGGUGAAGUCGUAACAAGGUAGCCGUAUCGGAAGGUGCGGCUGGAUCACCUCCUUUCU
rnacentral:rRNA from 1 species